CGCGCGGCUCCCCGUCACUCGAACGCGCGGCGGUAAGAUGGCGGAGUCCGGUGGUGGCGGCGGCGGCGGCAGCGGUGGCGUUGGCUUCGGUGCAGGCCCGGGCCCGGAGCGCCCGAGCAGCAUGGCUGAUAAGAAUGGAGCUCUCAAGUGCACCUUCUCUGCACCCUGCCAUAGCACCAGCCUCCUGCAGGGCCUGGCCACACUUCGCUCACAGGGCCAGCUCCUGGACGUUGUGCUCACAGUCAACAGAGAGACCUUCCAUGCACACAAGGUGGUCCUGGCUGCCUGCAGCGACUACUUCAGGGCCAUGUUCACAGGCGGCAUGAGGGAGGCCAGCCAGGACAUCAUUGAACUGAAGGGCUUGUCAGCGCGUGGCCUGCGGCACAUCAUUGACUUUGCCUACAGUGCUGAGGUGACGCUGGACCUGGACUGUGUGCAGGAUGUGCUGGGCGCAGCUGUGUUCCUACAGAUGCUGCCAGUGGUGGAGCUGUGUGAGGAGUUCCUCAAGGCUGCCAUGAGCGUGGAGACCUGCCUGCACAUCGGUCACAUGGCCACCACCUUCAGCCUGGCCUCCCUCAAAGAGUCGGUGGAUGCCUUCACCUUCCGGCAUUUCCUGCAGAUCGCUGCGGAAGAUGAUUUCCUGCAGCUGCCACUGGAGCGCCUCGUCUUCUUCCUGCAGAGCAACCGCCUACAGAGCUGUGCCGAGAUCGACCUGUUCCGAGCUGCUGUCCGCUGGUUGCAGCAUGACCCUGCCCGGCGGCCACGCGCCAGCCAUGUGCUCUGCCAUAUCCGUUUCCCACUCAUGCACUCGUCUGACUUGGUGGAUAGUGUGCAGACGCUGGACCUCAUGGUGGAGGACGUGCUAUGCCGCCAGUACCUGCUAGAGGCCUUCAACUACCAGGUGCUGCCUUUUCGGCAGCACGAGAUGCAGUCCCCGCGCACGAUUGUGCGCUCUGAUGUGCCCUCGCUGGUGGCCUUUGGUGGCACACCCUAUACUGACAGUGACCAUGCUGUCAGUAGCAAAGUAUACCACCUGCCUGAGCCAGGAGCCUGUCACUUCCGCGAGCUCACAGAGAUGGAGGUGGGCUGCAGCCACACAUGCGUGGCUGUGCUGGACAACUUCGUGUAUGUGGCCGGGGGCCAGCACCUGCAGUAUCGCAGUGGGGAGGGUGCAGUGGAUGCCUGCUACCGCUACGACCCUCACCUGAACCGAUGGCUGCGCUUGCAGGCCAUGCAGGAGAGCCGCAUCCAGUUCCAGCUGAACGUGCUGUGCGGCAUGGUCUAUGCCACGGGCGGCCGCAACCGGGCCGGCAGUCUGGCCUCUGUUGAAAGAUACUGCCCGCGGCGCAACGAGUGGGGCUAUGCCUGCUCGUUGAAGCGCCGCACCUGGGGCCACGCAGGUGCCUCGGCCGGGGGUCGCCUUUACAUUUCGGGUGGCUAUGGCAUCUCCGUGGAGGACAAGAAGGCGCUGCACUGCUAUGACCCGGCAGUCGACCAGUGGGAGUUCAAGGCACCCAUGAGCGAACCCCGUGUGUUGCAUGCCAUGGUGGGUGCUGGCGGCCGCAUUUACGCCCUGGGUGGCCGCAUGGACCAUAUGGACCGCUGCUUUGACGUGCUAGCUGUAGAGUACUAUGUACCAGAAACAGACCAGUGGACCAGCGUGAGCCCCAUGAGGGCCGGCCAGUCAGAGGCUGGCUGCUGCCUGCUGGACAGAAAAAUUUAUGUUGUUGGGGGCUAUAACUGGCGCCUCAACAAUGUGACAGGCAUCGUGCAGGUCUACAACACCGAGACAGAUGAAUGGGAACGCGACCUGCACUUCCCUGAGUCUUUUGCAGGCAUUGCCUGUGCCCCAGUCCUGCUGCCCCGGGCCGGAAGCAGGAGGUAGCUCCCGGGAUGCCCCCCCAACCCACACACCCAUGACCUGGCUGCAUGCUGUUCUUGCCAGGGGUUUGAUAACUGUACCCCACUUCUCUGGAGCUGGAGGGGCUCAGAAGCACCCAACUUGGAUUGAUGACCAGAGGACAGUUCUGUCUCCCCAAUAAGCCCAAGCUGCUGAAUGGGAGAGAGCCGCACAGGAGGUUGAGCGUUUGUUCCUAUUCCCGUCCUUGGUCUGAGCACCUCGGGGUGUUUGCUCAUUCGAUUUCAGGAGGAGAGACCACAGCCGCUUCCAGAGAUGGUCCUCAUGGAUGUCGGGCCUCCACUGGGCACUGGGCCACCUGGGGGGCCCUGAGGAGAACUGGGCUGAUAUGUCCCUGUCCCACGGAUGAAGGAGGAUGCUGCUUUAGAAUCCCAGUGCAUCUGCACUCCACGGGUCUGUUCGGGACUUUCAUUUCAUCUACUCUCCAGCCCUGCACUCCCUCUUUGUCCUGUGCUCAGGGUGAAGUGCCACCUGGCCCAAGGCUGCCAGCUGGGGAGUCAGUAGGCAGGAGCCUCUCUCUUCAAGGGCUUCAUGGCAUCUCCAGCCACAUUUGUUUUGGUCUCUAAAUCUUUUUAUUGUUGUUCCAUUUUGCUUUUUUUUUUUUAAGAGGCCAGCACCGCUGCCUUAUAAAUGGGAUUUAUACCCUUGGGGCAACUUAAAGUGUCUCUUCUGCUGCUAACAGACGAUUGAUGUCAUGUUUCUGUGACCCACUCGCUGUGUAAAGAAUUAACCUCAUACCUUAGCAGACGUCGUCUCCUAAUAUUUUCCUUGUAUUUAAUAAAAAUGUUAUGGUGAAAAGAUGGA